CCUACGGGGGGCAGCAGUGAGGAAUAUUGGUCAAUGGACGGAAGCCUGAACCAGCCAAGUCGCGUGAGGGAAUAAGGCCCUACGGGUCGUAAACUUCUUUUAUAAAAGGAUAAAGUGAGACACGUGUGCCUUUUUGUAUGUACUUUAUGAAUAAGGAUCGGCUAACUCCGUGCCAGCAGCCGCGGUAAUACGGAGGAUCCGAGCGUUAUCCGGAUUUAUUGGGUUUAAAGGGAGCGUAGGUGGGUUGUUAAGUCAGUUGUGAAAGUUUGCGGCUCAACCGGAAAAUUGCAAUUGAUACUGGCAGUCUUGAGUGCAGUUGAGGUAGGCGGAAUGUGUGGUGUAGCGGUGAAAUGCUUAGAUAUCACGCAGAACACCGAUUGCGAAGGCAGCUUACUAAACUGCCACUGACAUUGAGGCUCGAAAGUGUGGGUAUCAAACAGGAUUAGAUACCCCUGUAGUC
rnacentral:rRNA from 1 species